GAUGAAGAACGUAGCGAAAUGCGAUAAGUAAUGUGAAUUGCAGAAUUCAGUGAAUCAUCGAAUCUUUGAACGCACAUUGCGCCCCCUGGUAUUCCGGGGGGCAUGCCUGUCCGAGCGUCAUUACAACCCUCAAGCUCAGCUUGGUGUUGGGCCCCGCCGCCCCGGCGGGCCCUAUAGUCAGUGGCGGUGCCGUCCGGCUCCGAGCGUAGUAAUUCUUCUCGCUCUGGAGGUCCGGUCGUGUGCUCGCCAGCAACCCCCAAUUUUUUUCAGGUUGACCUCGGAUCAGGUAGGGAUACCCGCUGAACUUAAGCAUAUCAAUAAGCGGAGGA
rnacentral:misc_RNA from 1 species